AACAAAUAUGGCUGAAAUUCUCAAGGAUUUUUAUGCUAUGAAUUUAUUUAUUUUCUUAAUUAUUUUACCAGCAAAAAUUCGUGGUGUUACAUUAUGUGGUGGCAUUUAGGGUGGGUGAGGGAAAGAGUUUUCUACUAUGGGAAAGUUUUUUCUUACCAUAAGAUUAAAGAGGUGCACAGAUUUUAAAAUGGUCUCUCCACACCAUAUAUUUUCUUCCAUCAUCUUCAACCCUUGAAAAUACAAAUCUGCAAUUCACUCACCAACCCAUAUCCAUUUAAAAUCAAUCUUUUUUGUUAAGAUGAUUUUGGUCUAACACAUUGAAUGAAUUUUAGAGAUACCAAUAAUUUCGAAAAUCGCCCUUUCAAUACCCUUUUAACUUCCUUUUCUAUUUCAUAAGCAAGCAUGACCAUUCCUUAAAAUAAAAUAAAAAAAACAAGCAUGGCCAUUUUCAUUUCUUAUGUGUAUCGUGUAAGCAUGUUGUUUUCACUUCGUACUUCGUAUGUGUAACGUUGUUCUGUUUGCAACAUAUGGUGUGUGUACUGUGUAAUAUAAUAGAAACAAAAUGAUAACCCCAAGGAAAGGAAAUGUGCGGAUCUAAACAUCGUCGGAGAGAGGUGCAGAUCUACACACCGGCGACGAGAGGUGCGACGGUGACGUCGACCAUAACGACAACAUAUUCUUACUUUGAUUCCAAAACUCCAAAAGGAUGGUUUGACAUGCGGUCACUAAGAAAAUAGAACGAUUAUUAACUGAACAAAUGAUUUCAAAUACAAUGGAGAGUAUUUAGCUGAUUGAAAAGUCAAAUAGUAAGAUGUGUAUAUUAGAAUUUCGAAAAUUCCUUCUGUUCGUGGCUGAUUUGCAGAUUUGCAUGAGGUUGAAGAAGAUGUGGGGAAAAUAUAUGGUGUGGACAGGUCAUGGUAAAAUCUGUGCACCUAUUUAAUCUUAUGGUUAGAAAAAACUUUCUCGUGGUGAGAAACUCUUUCCCUCACCCACCCUAAAUGCCACCACAUUAUGUUACCAUCUCUUUUCAUUACAGAGGUUUUUCAGCGUGUAACUGAUGACGGUUGUCCAAAACCUGUGAACCAUUUAAGAGUUGUCAAGUGCAUUGAACACAUAUGUGAGUAUGGUUAUAAUUAUCGCCCUGAUUUUGCAUCCCAGAUUCCAGAGAGUACAAAAAUGCCCCGUAAAAGA